GAGGAUGUAGCUCAGUUGGUAGAGUGCUUGCCUUGCAUGCACAAGGCCCUGGGUUCAAUCCCCAGCACCACA
rnacentral:tRNA from 2 species